UACGUAGGGUGCAAGCGUUAAUCGGAAUACUGGGCGUAAAGCGUGCGCAGGCGGUUUUGUAAGUCAGAUGUGAAAUCCCCCGGGCUUAACCUGGGAACUGCGUUUGAAACUACAAGGCUAGAGUGUGACAGAGGGGGGUGGAAUUCCACGUGUAGCAGUGAAAUGCGUAGAGAUGUGGAGGAACACCGAUGGCGAAGGCAGCCCCCUGGGUUAACACUGACGCUCAGGCACGAAAGCGUGGGGAGCAAACAGG
rnacentral:rRNA from 1 species